GCAGAGUAGGCAUAUGCGCGUUAAGUGCUGGCUGUACAGGGAGUUGACAGCCGGACGAAAAGAAUUUCUUGCGGUGCACAUGCCGCAUCCCGCUGC
rnacentral:ncRNA from 1 species